rnacentral:rRNA from 1 species
UUCGCAAUGCCCGAAAGGGUGACGAAGCGACGCCGCGUGCGGGAAGAAGGCCUUCGGGUUGUAAACCGCUGUCGGGAGUUAAGAAAUGUAAGGAUGUUAAUAGCAUCUUUGCUUGACUAAGGCUCCGGAGGAAGCCACGGCUAACUCUGUGCCAGCAGCCGCGGUAAUACAGAGGCGGCAAGCGUUGUUCGGAAUUAUUGGGCGUAAAGAGCACGUAGGCGGCUAUGUAAGUCGAUUGUGAAAGCCUUCCGCUCAACGGGAGAACAGCAUCCGAUACUGCAUGGCUUGAGUGCGGGAGGGGAGAGUGGAACUUCUGGUGGAGCGGUGAAAUGCGUAGAUAUCAGAAGGAACGCCGGCGGCGAAAGCGGCUCUCUGGCCCAUAACUGACGCUGAGUGUGCGAAAGCUAGGGGAGCAAACGGGAUUAGAUACCCCGGUAGUCCUAGCCGUAAACGAUGGGCACUAAGUAGAGGGGUUUU